rnacentral:sRNA from 1 species
ACUUGUUGUGGACAGAUGAAGUGGAUGUGUGUAUCGAUACCUCCAGCUGUAAAGAUGUGUCCUUCACCUCCUAACGCUUCUGUAGAUGCUCCGAUAACCAUUCCUGAUGUUACUCCAUCCAUUGUAUUUGGGUUACCUGCUUUACCAAUACCAGCGAUUUUUCCGUCUUUGAUACCGAUAUCUGCUUUUACGAUUCCCCAGUAGUCGAUAAUUGUUGCGUUAGUAAUUACUAAGUCUAACACUCCCUCAUCUCUAAGGUGAGUAGCUGACUGAGCCAUACCAUCUCU